rnacentral:rRNA from 1 species
GAUGAACGCUGGCGGCGUGCCUAAUACAUGCAAGUCGAGCGAACGGACGAGAAGCUUGCUUCUCUGAUGUUAGCGGCGGACGGGUGAGUAACACGUGGAUAACCUACCUAUAAGACUGGGAUAACUUCGGGAAACCGGAGCUAAUACCGGAUAAUAUUUUGAACCGCAUGGUUCAAAAGUGAAAGACGGUCUUGCUGUCACUUAUAGAUGGAUCCGCGCUGCAUUAGCUAGUUGGUAAGGUAACGGCUUACCAAGGCAACGAUGCAUAGCCGACCUGAGAGGGUGAUCGGCCACACUGGAACUGAGACACGGUCCAGACUCCUACGGGAGGCAGCAGUAGGGAAUCUUCCGCAAUGGGCGAAAGCCUGACGGAGCAACGCCGCGUGAGUGAUGAAGGUCUUCGGAUCGUAAAACUCUGUUAUUAGGGAAGAACAUAUGUGUAAGUAACUGUGCACAUCUUGACGGUACCUAAUCAGAAAGCCACGGCUAACUACGUGCCAGCAGCCGCGGUAAUACGUAGGUGGCAAGCGUUAUCCGGAAUUUAUGGGCGUAAAGCGCGCGUAGGCGGUUUUUUAAGUCUGAUGUGAAAGCCCACGGCUCAACCGUGGAGGGUCAUUGGAAACUGGAAAACUUGAGUGCAGAAGAGGAAAGUGGAAUUCCAUGUGUAGCGGUGAAAUGCGCAGAGAUAUGGAGGAAUACCAGUGGCGAAGGCGACUUUCUGGUCUGUAACUGACGCUGAUGUGCGAAAGCGUGGGGAUCAAACAGGAUUAGAUACCCUGGUAGUCCACGCCGUAAACGAUGAGUGCUAAGUGUUAGGGGGUUUCCGCCCCUUAGUGCUGCAGCUAACGCAUUAAGCACUCCGCCUGGGGAGUACGACCGCAAGGUUGAAACUCAAAGGAAUUGACGGGGACCCGCACAAGCGGUGGAGCAUGUGGUUUAAUUCGAAGCAACGCGAAGAACCUUACCAAAUCUUGACAUCCUUUGACAACUCUAGAGAUAGAGCCUUCCCCUUCGGGGGACAAAGUGACAGGUGGUGCAUGGUUGUCGUCAGCUCGUGUCGUGAGAUGUUGGGUUAAGUCCCGCAACGAGCGCAACCCUUAAGCUUAGUUGCCAUCAUUAAGUUGGGCACUCUAAGUUGACUGCCGGUGACAAACCGGAGGAAGGUGGGGAUGACGUCAAAUCAUCAUGCCCCUUAUGAUUUGGGCUACACACGUGCUACAAUGGACAAUACAAAGGGCAGCGAAACCGCGAGGUCAAGCAAAUCCCAUAAAGUUGUUCUCAGUUCGGAUUGUAGUCUGCAACUCGACUACAUGAAGCUGGAAUCGCUAGUAAUCGUAGAUCAGCAUGCUACGGUGAAUACGUUCCCGGGUCU